CAGCGUUUAAGGUACUCGGUA
rnacentral:piRNA from 1 species